rnacentral:lncRNA from 1 species
UUAAAAGAAAAUAAAAUAUUUUCAUGUGAGAAACAGUUUUAAAAAGGUUUUCUCGGCAUUUCAUGAUUUUAGUAUUUUUAAAUGAGUUUUUGGGUAGAAAAUACUUUCAACUGAUAGUUGUGAAAUAUUGUGAAUGUACCGUUGUGAUUGGUUGUGGUUGUGAUUUGUAUUGUGUGCGACACCGUGCAAAUACAGAGGAGACUCUGUCCGUGUGAACAGUGAAUUAUUUGUAUUUGUGGCGUGUCUGUCAUCCUUUGGGUCAAGGUUUCAAAAAAAAUUUUGGGCACUUUCCGCUAAUCUGUAGGCUUUAAGUGUAACACACUGAACUUUAGCAAAUUACAGUGUUCGAGUGUUUGAUUUGUGUUCUAAGUCUUUGUGGGUUUUCUGUAUGGUCGUUGACUGUGUUCCAACUUAUGACUCAAUCCGGAGGAGCGAGGGUGAAAACUUAGCGCCAAAACCUUUAAAUGAAGGAUUUGGGCUGCUCUCGGAUUGGACUCUGCAGGGCAGAGUGCCGGUACUGCAUCGGCUGAGUACCGGUACCAGGUCCAGUACCAGUACGUAGUGUGUGUUCUUGCUUACCCGAGGCUCGGGUUUGCGCGUGCUGCUACCUGGUACCGGUACGCCGGCCCGUGUCACCGGUACGCAGUGCAGUGCAGACUGCAUGAUUGUAGAGAGGUUUUUUCGAGUUUGUUACAACUCUAUAUAUACCCCACGCCCCCUUUCUUGUUCCCUGAGCUUAGAACUUGAGGAGAGAAGCGUAAGGAGCUUCUCCUCUUCCCCUCUUUGAUUUUUUUCCUUUUUGUUGGAAUUUUUGAGGAUUAAUCACCUCUUUUUGCUUCUCUUUGCUUGUUGGUGACCUUUCCACCAUUGGAGAAGCUUUGGAGCUUGGAUAGGAGCUUGUUGGAGGAGAGAUCUUCAACCCUAACUCGUUUCUAGUUUGGUUUGGGGCUUUUAGAGAGGUUAGUAAUCUUAAUUUCUCAUUUGAUUCAUGUUUUGGUAGUUUUCUUGAUAUGAAAACCUAGAAUGUGAAAUCUAGGAUUUUAUUUGGGAAAUUUUGAUUUGAGGCUUUUGGGACUUAAUUGAUAGGUGUAGAACCUUCCUCUAGGUUGGAUUAGAAGUGCUAUAGCUCCCAUUUGGAAUUUAGGAGGGUUUUCUACAAUUUAAGGUAAGAUUUGGCCUUUCUUUGGGUUGGUUAAAGAUGAACUCGAGGAGUGUUCAUUCAUUUCGUCUAACCCUUUUAGAAUUAUCUCUAGGAGCUAAGAGACUAGUGGAUGUUUGAGAUUAAAAAAAUUCAAAUUCAAAUUGAGAAAACACUUUGUUUGAGAUGAAAAGAUUCAAAUUCAAAUUCAAAUUGAGAAUAUGGAAGGAAAGAAAUUAAAUUGCAAUUUGAUUACUUCUUUCCUUAGAGGACUAAGUAUUAACAAGGAAAAAGAUAAGGAAAAUAUUAUUGCCCUAUCUUCAAAAAUUUUUGAAUUAUUUUCUAAAGUGAAUAGGUCCUAAUAUCACUAUAAAUUGGACAAUAGAAUUCAAAAAUGAAUCUCUUGGAGAGGGGGGAGAAAGAAAAAAAAAAGUAGAUCAGAACAAAAAAAAAAAGAAAAAAAAAGAAAAAGAAAACAAAAAGGAUGAGAGCGAGAGAGAGAGAGCCUCAAGAGGAGGGUCCGCACCUCCCUCUCUCUGGAUCGAUGGAAGAGAGAGGCGUGGCACCUUCCUCUCUCAGCAUGAUCAAACGAAUAAAGAAAAAAAAAAAAUAAAGCAAAAUAUAUCUAUAUAAUAUAUAUAUAUAUAUAUAUAUAUUAUAUAUAUAUAUUAUUAUAUUAUAUAUAUUUCUAUAUGGAGGAGCGACGGAAGCGACGACGAGACGCGUCUCGCGUUUGUUGAGAAGAUACGAGGACGACAACUGACAUGUGACGACUCGACAAACGACAUUUUAGAUUGACCCAUAGGAAGACUGCUAAGAAAGUCACGCGAGUGCAAGGUUGCUUGAAUCUAGUUGUGUAUCUGAGCCGAAUAUUCGCAUUUGAUGUAUUUCUAUUGCAGAUGGCUCAUGAACGCCCCAAUCCUUAUUGCCGCACUAAAAACGGCCCAUCAUGCCCCUUCUUCCUUACUUCUUCUUCCUCGAAAGCAGAAACUGGAGUUGUGGUGGAUUAGAUUGAAAUACGUGCAAAAAAACGUAUAGUAGUGAUUUUCUCUUAGUCGCUUUGAUGUAAGUUCACGACCCGGUAGCAUGCCUCGCUAUCAGGAUAGGUUGACCGGGAGGUGCCGACAAAUGCAGCUGAGAUUCAUGUAGCGCUACUGAGAUCCAGCUGUUGUGCCGGGAUACUUGCGUCGUACCUUCAUACAACGUCUCACGCGUCGAGCUCUUCCCACCACUCAGUUCGCGGAUAUGAGAAGGCUAAGUUUACGCCGUCUAAGCAUGUGAUCCCGUAAAAGAUCUACUAGACAUCUUCAUCAAAAUGAACGAUAGCGCGCUCGUAUAAGGAACGCUCCUGCCCAAUCCGACUUUCACAUAUUGCGUGCGGCCGCUGUGUUCCGUCUCGUGAAUCUCGACUAACGCUCAGUAUCCAUCAAAAAACAAUUAAUGAUAAUAAAACGAAAAUAAAAACAUGAUUAAAAUAAAUAUUUAUCUUGGAUCACGUCUUCAGUGAUAUGCUAGAUCAAUUUGACCAAUAAACCGCGAUGCGCCGCUCGACGUGAUAGGCUCUACGUUCGGUGCACAGCAAACUCCUCCGCACGAACGCGCGGACUCUCCGGCGACUCUGCACCUAUAUAAUAUGUCUUCCAGACACAUCACAAACAGCGGUCGGAGCCGUUAAAAAGCGAGUCGCCCGUUCCUUCGUGAUAGCCUAAGAUCCAAAUUUGACAAUAAAAACCCGGGUCGCCGUCAGUUCGUGAUACGCUUGACCCGGGUUCGGUUCAUUAAAUUCGGGUCGCAGUCUUCGUGAAUAGGUCUGACGCGCGAGUUUCGGUUUAAUUAAAGGGUGUUCGCAUCAGUCUUUGUGAUAGCUUGCCCAGCCGGUUCGUUAAUAUAAAAAAAACGGGCCGGCCGUGCUUCGGUUUUUUGACUGCACGAAUUCGCAAUUAAACGGCGUGUCGCCGUCUCGCGUGAUAGGCUUGACGGCCGCGUUCAGAUUAAUUAAAAACGGGUCGCCGUCUUCGUGAUAGGCCCUUGACUCGGUUCGGUUCAUUAACGCGAGUCGUCGUCUUCGUGAUAGGCUUGACUCGGGUUCAGUUAAUUAAAUCGGGGUCGGGCCGUCUUCGUGAUAGCUUGACCCUGAGUAUCGGAUUAAUUACAUCCGGCCGUCGCCGUCUGGUAAUAGCUUGACGGACGCGAAUGUCGGCUAAUUAAACAGGUCACGCUUCGUGAUAGCUUGAUCCCGGUCGGGUACGGCCGUCUUCGUGAUAGCUUGACGCCGAGUUCGGUUAUUAAACCGGGUAGCUCGGCCGUCUUCGUGAUAUGGCUUGGACUCCGAAUUCGCUAAUUAAACGGUCGCCGUCUUCGUGAUACGCUGACCCGAGUUGCGAUUCAAUUAAUCGGGUCGCCGUCUGCAGUGAUAGGCUGACCCGAGUUUGGUCAUUAAACUGGGGUCGCCGUCUCGUAAUAGGUUGACCCGAGUUCGGUUAAUUAAACCGGGUCGCCGUCUUCGUAAUAGGCUUGACCCGAGUCAACCAAACCAUAAUGACAAAUCAAAUCGGAUGAUAAGCCGAUCAAGUCUAAUCAAUAAGUCUAAUUGAACCAUUAAAGACAUUAACUAAAUCAAAUUAAACUACAAGCUAGUUUGACUUGAACCAAACCAUGAGGGAUCCAACCCGAACUAAAAUGGGUUCGAUCCGAAUCAAACCACAAGGGAUUUGACUUCAACCAAAGCGGAUCCGAUCCAAGCUGAACCGAACCGGAUCCCGUCUGAACCAAAUCAUAAUGGAUUCGACUUAAACCGAAGCGGAUCCGAUCCAAACUCAACCGAAGCGGUUCUACUCGAACCGAAGCGGAUCUGAUCCGAACCGAACCAAAUGGAUUCAACUUGAUCUGAUGUAGAUCCAACUUGAACCAAAUCAGGAAGGAUUUGACUCGAAUCGAAGGGGAUCUGAUUUGAGCCGAACCAUAGAAGAUUCAACUCGAACCGAAGUGAAGUGGAUCCAACCCGAACCAAACCAUAAAGGAUUCGACUUGAACCAAAGUGGAUCCGAUCCGAACCAAACCAUAAAGGAUUCGACUUGAACCAAAGUGGAUCCGAUCCGAGCCAAACCAUAAAGAAUUCGACUUGAACCAAAGUGGAUCCAAUCUGAACCAAACCAUGAAGGAUUCGACUUGAACCAAAGUGGAUCCGAUCAAAACUGAACCGAACCGAAUCCCAUCUGAACCAAAGGGAUUCGACUUGAACUAAAGUGGAUCCGAUCCAAACUGAACCGAACCAGAUCCGAACCGAACCGGAUCCUGUCUGAACAGAACCAUAGAGGAUUCGACUUGAACCAAAGUAAAUCCGAUCUCAACUAAACCGAAUCGGAUCCCGUCUGGACCAAACCGAACAAGAUUCAACUCGAACCGAAGUGAGUCAGAUCCGAACAGGAGUCGGUUCGAUCAGAACUGAACUCAACUCAAACCGAACCAUGAAGGAUUUGACUCGAAUUGAAGUGGGUCCGAUCCAAACCAAAUCAUGAAGGAUUCGACUCGAAUUGAAGUGGGUCCGAUCCGAACCAAAUCAUGAAGGAUCCAACCCGAACCGAAGUGGUCCAAUCUGAACCAAAUCAUGAAGGAUUCGACUCCAAUUGAAGUGGGUUCGAUCCGAACCAAACCAUGAAGGAUCCGACCCGAACCGAAGUGGUCCGAUCCGAACCAAAUCAUGAAGGAUUCGACUCCAAUUGAAGUGGGUCCGAUCCGAACCAAACCAUGAAGGAUCCGACCCGAACCGAAGUGGUCCGAUCCGAACCAAACCAUGAAGGAUUCGACUCGAAUUGAAGUGGGUCCGAUCCAAACCAAGCCAUGAAGGAUCCGACCCGAACCGAAGUGGUCCGAUCCGAACCAAACCAUGAAGGAUUCGACUCGAAUUGAAGUAGGUCCGAUCCAAACCAAGCCGUAGAGGAUCCGACUCGAACCAAAGUGGGUUCGAUUCGAACCCAACCGUAAAAAAUCCAACUCGAACCGAGGAGGGUCCGAUCUGAACUGAACCGAACCGGAUCCUGUCUGAACCGAACCGAACAGGAUUCAACUUAAACCAAAGCGAAUCCGAUCAGAGCUGAACCGAACUAGAUCCGAACCAAACCGGAUCCUGUCUGAACUGAACCAAAUAUGAUUCGACUUGAACCAAAUCCAAAGCGACCAAAUGAACUUAAGGCCACCCAACUCAAACCAAGUCUUGAUGGGUCCCGAACCAAAGCAUAACAGUUCAACCCAAACCAAGUCUUGAUGGGUCUUGAACCAAAGCAUAACGGUUCAACCCAAACCAAAUCCAAAACGACCAAAUGAACUUAAGGUCGCCCAACUCAAACCAAGUCUUGAUGGGUCCCGAACCAAAGCAUAACGGUUCAACUCAAACCAAGCCUUGAUGGGUCUCGAACCAAAACAUAACGGUUCAACCCAAACCAAAUCCAAAGCGACCAAACAAACUUAAGGUCGCCCAACUCAAACCAAGUCCUGAUGGGUCCCGAACCAAAACAUAACGAUUCAUUCCAAAUCAAAUACAAGAGGUUUAAGCCAACCCAAACCUAAAGUCCACAAAUAAACCCCAAAACCAAAGUCCACAAAUAAAUCCCAAAACCAAAGUCCAUAAAUAAAUCCCAAAACCAAAAUCAACAAAUAAAUCCCAAAACCCAAAGUCCACAAAUAGAACCCAAAACCCAAAGUCCACAAAUAAAUCCCAAAACCCAAAGUCCACAAAUAAAACCCAAAACCCAAAGUCCACAAAUAAAUCCCAAAACCCAAAGUCCACAAAUAAAACCCAAAACCCAAAGUCCACAAAUAAAAUCCAAAAUCCAAACUCACGACCGCAAAGUCGUUAAACUAAACAACCCAAAAUCAAACGACUGUAAAGUCGUUAAACUAAAUCCGAAUUCAUACGAUUGAAAAGUUGUUAAACUAAACCCAAAUUCAAACGACCGAAAAGUCGUUAAACUGAACCCAAAAUCAAAUGACCAAAAAGUCGUUAAACUAAACCCAAAAUCAAACGACCGUAAAGUCGUUAAACUAAACCCAAAUACAAACGAACGAAACGUCGCUAAACUAAACCCAAAUUCAAACGACCGAAACGUCGUUAAACUAAACCCAAACUCAAACGACCGAGACGUCGUUAAACUAAACCUAAACUCAAAUGACCGAAAUGUCGUUAAACUAAACCUAAACUCAAACGACCGAAACGUCGUUAAACUAAACGCAAAACUCAAACGACCGAAACGUCGUUAAACUAAACCCAAACUCAAACGACCGAAACGUCGUUAAACUAAACCCAAACCAAACGACCCGGAAACUCGUUAUAAAUUAAAACCAAUUCAAACCGAAAUGUUUUAAACUAAACCCAAACUCAAACGACCGAAACGUCCGUUAACUAACCUAAACAUCAAAACGACCGAUCAAUGCGUUAAAUAUCUAAACCCAAAAUCCAAACGACCGAAACAUCGCUUAAACUUUAAAUCCAAACUCAAACGACCGAAACGUCGUAAACUAACCCAAACUCAAACGACCGAACGUCGUUAAACUAAACCAAAUCGAACUCUAAACAUAUACAUAGAGUUCAUUCCGACUAACCCUAAUACAUCUCCCAGGGCGAAGUCAGCCUUUUGCUCGACAUACUAACCUACAGUGCAAAGUCAAAUCAUGUUCGACUAUCCUAUAACACAAUCCCUUAGGGUCAUGUUAGCCUCUUGCUCUCGCACAUCUACCUAGAGUGAAAUCCGAUACCCGAUCGAGCUCUAAUACAUAAUACUUGGACUCAUACAAUCAAUCCCCGACAAACCCUUAACGCAAUACCUUUGGGCUAGUCAGAUCUUCACUCUAGCAUAUAUAAACUAAGUAAAAUAGAUUAAACUCGUUAAUCUGUGCCAUACACUCAGAAUUAGUCACUCUCUACUUGUGGAUAAUAUCACAAACGAUCUAGCUUCAAUACAUAUACUUGGGGUUGGUCACAUCUCAACCUGAAUAUACCAACAAGGUGAACCCGACCGCCAUUGUCAUUAAAGCUGACAUCACAAACGAAAUCCGAACGCCAUGUCCUAACUGAACAUUCAAAAACCAAUCGAGCCGACAUGUCCAUAAACAGCACCAAACCGUCAAUUCCGAUCCGCAUGUCUUAACUGAGCACCAAAAAACUCAUAACCUGACCGCCAUGUCUUAAACCUGAGUCACCAAAACUCAAACCACCGAACCGCCAUCUCAUUAAACCUGAGCACCAAAACUCAAACCGCCGUCAGUACAUAAAAUGACAUCCAAAACUCAAACCCACCGGCCAUGUCAUUAAAUGGCACCAAACUCCAAACCGACCGCCAUGUCAUUAAACUAGCACACAAAACAAGACGAGCCGUCAUGUCAUUAAACGAGCACGCACCGUUCAAUCAGAGCCCGAUCGGGCCGGAUGUCUAAACGAGCAUGCUCAAACCAAAUCCACUGCCCAUGGUUCGGCUAAACUGAGCAUCUCAAACUCAAACCGACUGCCAUGUCGCUAAACUGAGCAUCUCAAACUCAAACCGACUGCCAUGUCGCUAAACUAAGCAUCUCAACUCAAACCGACUGCCAUGUCGUUAAACUAAGCAACUCAAAUCAAACCGACUGUCAUGUCGUUAAACUGAGCGACUCAAAUCAAACCGAAAACUGAGCGACUCAAAUCAAGCCGACCGCCACGUCAUUAAACUGAGCGACUCAAAUCAAGUCGAACGCCAUGUCGUUAACUGAGCUACUCAAGUCAAGUCGACUGCCACGUCGCUAAACUGAGCUACUCAAAUCAAGCCGACUGCUAUAACUCAGCUCAAACAGACUAAAUAACUGCCAAGUCCAUAAACUGAGCAUUUCAUCAAUGUACAGUGGGGGUAUGCCCCUGCUUAAGCCAUGUACUUGAAAAUUAUAUCAAUUCAAGUUCAUCUUUAUACUACGGUCUCUUUCUAUCAUCAACAUUAAAUUUAGUCUCUUAAUCAAGGGUUCUUUAACACCGAAAGUGUGGCGUAAUUAACAGCAGAUUCUUGAGUCUAUUGGAAGUUAUGAACCUAUAAUCCUGAUUUCAAAAUAAAAUUCAAACAAAUCUAAUUUCUACCAUGAAUGACCACUCGCCCUAGAAACAACCUACGGUGGGGCCGGUUCGUUCGUGGCAGAUAGUGGACAUCUUCGUUCGCGCAAACGAAGGGAAUCCGAGGAGUUCUUGGUGGGUUUGACCUCACCAAAAUAGGUGAACUCCCCUUGUAAUAUACCGAGAAUUCGGAAAAUAAAGAUGUCGAACUUUAGUCAAAUUGACCAAAGUGUGAGGACGGUACACUUCGGAAAGUCGGAAGGUGAUAAAAUGAUUAAAAGCGAGUUACGGGAGGUUUUCGAGAGCUAUAGAAUCAAAAUCUGCAUUCUGCAAUUUUGAGCUCUCGGGGACCGGUCCCUGGUGGGAGAGACCGGUCCCCGAACGCGUAUGAGGUGAGACAGCCGAAAAAUCGGCUAAGUCCUGAGAAAUUAGCUCUCGGGAACCGGUCCCUGCCUGAGAGACCGGUCCCCGAGAGACCGGUCCCCCAAAGGGAGACCGGUUGCCCUGCGCGCAGCAGCUCUGGCUGCGCGGGGAGAGCCUUCGGGAACCGGUCCCUGAAGGAGAGACCGGUCCCCGCCUGCGCGAUCAGCCCAUUCCAGGCUGUGUGAAAGAGUGAAAGUUGAGGGGUUUAUUUGCAAUUAUGCAACCCAAUAGCUAUGUUAUGAGGGCUAAUGAGAUUUUCUCUCAUUCUCACCCUCUCAAACACUCUCUUCUCUCCCUCUCUCUCUCUAGAAGGCAAAGGAGAAGAAAGAUUAAGUAAGAAGAAAGAAGAAAAGGAAGGAAAAGAAGGAGAGAAAAGGAGAGAAGAAGAGGCAGUAAGAAACUCCUCUCCCUAUCUCUAGCUUGGAAGAGAAAGCUUCACAAGAUAAGCUUUGACGCCUAGUCAUGCUAAAAACCUAAAAUUGGGAACUUAGGUGACCUAGAAGUGAGUUUUUAUGUGGGCAUUUUGAGUCUUUGAAGCUUUUCUUUUGCUUCGUCCUUCUUUGGAAGAUCAUGACCAUGAUGUUUAGUGUUGGAGGUGAAGCUUGAAAGAAGGCUUCCAUCUCCCUCUCAUGCGUGAAAUCCAACUAGGGUUCUGGAAAAUGAGUUUAGGAAUGGUUCUAAUGGACUUUUUAGAGUAUAAUGAAGCUACUUUGCUUCUCUUGAGCAUCCAACCCUAGGUUUUUGAUUAUAUUGUAUUGCGACUAGGGCACCAAACUUUGGGGUUUGCUCAUGGAUUCUAAGUGCAAUUGAAUCCAUCAGAAACCUAAUUGGGCGCCGUAUUAUCCGACGCCGUUGGUGCGUUGCGGAAAUAUUAGCGUUCACGAAAAGUGUAUGUAAAUUAUGGCCAAAUAAGCCUAAUUUGGCUUCGUUAUGCCGCAGGAAGAGAAGCAGUUCUAAAUCCCAGAAGAAAAUCAUCGCCACCCCCGAGCACCUUUAAAAGCUACGAGUGUGCGGUGGUGCUCUCCAAAACUCAUUGAACUUCUCUCUAUACUAAUGAUGUCAUUCAUUUGAGAUUAUAUAAUAUCUAUAUCGAUUGAUGCAUUUUAGCGGUUAAAGUUAAUAAUGAAAAUAUAAUGCAUGAUGAUUGUGAGUACAACUUGCUAAUAUGAUGAAUGAGAACUAUGUGAUGUCGAAAACCCUAUUUUAUGCAUGAGAGGAAAAGUGAGCCCCAAAGUGAGCAAAAGAACGAGCUGACACCAUGACAUAGAUUCGAGUGGCAUUCGAUAAAGUUAAGUUAACGUGAAAUGACACAUAGAGAUCAGUUGAGGUAAAGAACAAUGUAAUGUAAGAAUGAUGAAAUGACAAGCUUAAAGUUAAGUAAUGUGUGGAAGUAAGCGACAUGAAGUGCUAGAGGAGCCAAAAAUAAGGAAUUAUAAGAAUGUGGUCGCCAUAGUUCUGCAAUAAACGUGAUGAAGGAACACUAGACCCUAGUGUAAAGUCAAGAUUGAACUUAUUAAAUCCUUUGAGUUAAGGAUAUGAUCAAUACUUGCUAUGAGUUCCGUGUCGGAGGUGGUCGUCCCCUCGGGCGAUGCCUCCGCGAGUUAUGCAUCACGGGGUUGGAGUAAAGCCCGAAGGACGCGUCCUAGCGGCGUGAGUUCUGCGAUGAUGACUUAAUGUGAGAGCAAGUCAUUGUGGCGAUAUCCCGGGUUAGCCUUGAGAUUAAAGAACAAAGAGUAAAGAACAAAGUGCAAGAACAAGAACAAAGAGUAAAGUGAAAAGAAUAAAGAAUUUGCAUAAUAUGCAUAUGUUAAUGUUGAGCAUAUUUCUUGCUUAUUGUUCAGGCAUAUUAGCAUCAUGUUGUAGAUUGGUUACUAUAUUUCAGCUUAUCCUUUCUAUUAUGCCUGAGUUAGUCCUAGUGGGAAAGUCGGUGAUGUUGAGGCCGAACCCACUGGGAACUUUGUUGUAGUUCUCACCCCACUAUUUCCACAGAGCCGGGACCGAGCGAGCCGGCGAGCGACCGAGGUAAAGGUAUCGCGCCUUAGUCAGAGGCCACCAAAGUUGGGUUUCAUUUUGUAGUAAAGUACCCUAUGAUCAUCUUUUGUACAUGAUGGUAAAUGAUGUAAAGAAAAGAAUAUAACGUGUAUUUUGAGGUAAAUGUGAUGUAAGAAAGAAAUGAUGAAGCGAAAUGUAAGGAAUUCAAAAAAUUACAAGUUGGAUGUAUGUAUAUGAUCUAAAUUGAAUCAUAGUAUAAGCGAAUGUUUAGUUUUCCUUUCUUUCACUAAUGGCUAUUGCUUACUCUCGUGUAAGCCGUUUGUGUAUGUUUCCGCUAGUGCAUUUAUUGUUUGAAUUUGUACAUGUGAUGAGCCUUGGGCUGAUAGGGGAAACUCUGUCCGUUCGGCGUCUGUUCGACGUGCUCGGGCCGGCCCCAAUUGGUAUCGGUCCCGGGGCGUGACACCCCUAUAUUAUAUUCUUUAUUGUAAAAUAAAAAAUCAAGCAUAUUCAUGCUAGAUAGGGCAUAUGUGAAUUUUAGAAUGCUUAAAAUGUAUAUAUUAUGUAUCAUGAAAUUUUACCUCUAUGUAGUAGAGAGAUUAAUUCAUAGUAAUCAUGCAAGUGAAUGGCAUUCUAUUAUGUGACUUGGAACCAUGCUUCAUAUAAUGAAAAUGACUAGAAUAACAUGCUCUUGGAUAUAGAACUCAUGUUUGACAUAGUGGACAUUAAUGUCAUAAAGUGGCAUUCAAUUUAGUAAAGGUGAAACUCUUGCUUGAUGACAUAGAGAUAGGCCAUUGGGUCAUUAGCCUUUAUACCAUGUUUUAGACAUAAUGACAUCGGACUUGAGACGGAUGAUUACGCUUGCUUGCCAUUGUGCUCAUUCGUAAAUGUUUGUGAGGGUCGUUCCCCACAAGCCAUCACUCCGGAGAUAGCCAUCGCGACAUAAGCUCGUCCGUGCGGGAUUGGUAGCCGAAAUGGGAUGCCGUGGGGGAGGCUCAUUCCUAGAGUGGGAAUGUUGAUUACCACGGGGCGAUUAGGCACGGCGCAAGCCGGACUACCCUUGUGUAGGUCCUAUAUGAUUGGAACAAUAUUGAACUAAAAUGCAAUGUGGACAUUAGACUAAUUAGUAAAUGUUGACAUUCUACUAGUUGUACUUGUGGACAUUAUGUUAUUUAUAUAUAUGCUCAUUCAUGUUAGAAUAGCUCUUUUACUUGUAAAACAUCAUGCUAAAGUAGAGGCAUAGUAGUUUAGUAAGUUUAUUUCAUUCUCAAAAUACAUAUUGUUCAUUUCAUUUAAAUGUUAGAACAUACUGCCUCCAUAACCUAGUGGUGUAUUUCGCUGAUGUCGGCGGCUUACCCACUGGGAACUAUUGAUUAAUAGUUCUCACGCCCCCUAUUUUGUUGUUUUUGUUAUAGAGUCUUCCACACUGGGUGAGGCUAGGGACCGCGGCAAGGGUGUCGCCACUAGCUAGUUGCGAGGGGUUUUGCUUUUAGGUGGUUCACCUUUCUUUUUGGUUUUAUUUCGAGAGGAUGAGAGUUUUGUACCUUAUGUAGAGACCACCAUUUUUGUACAUCUAGCACUUGUAUUUGAGAUCUUAUGAUGUAUUUACUUGUGGAUUAUGAUAGUUGUUUAGUUCUUUUAUAUUCUACUUGUCUUUAGAAUUUAGUUAUAAUCAUGAUUUGAUAUCUCUAGAUGCUUGUUUACUGUUGCUUUAAUUAUUGGUUUGUUAUAGACGCCUUAUAUGUUGUAGGCAUAUGACGGGUCUGGACACGCACCGGGCGGGCUUCCGCUGGGUCCCGGGGCGUGACAUUAAGGGACCUCGGGGCGUGACAGACAAUGAAUUAUCUGUAUUUGUGGCAGGUCUGUCAAUCUUUGGGUU